rnacentral:rRNA from 1 species
GAUGAACGCUGGCGGCGUGCCUAAUACAUGCAAGUCGAGCGAACGGACGAGAAGCUUGCUUUUCUGAUGUUAGCGGCGGACGGGUGAGUAACACGUGGAUAACCUACCUAUAAGACUGGGAUAACUUCGGGAAACCGGAGCUAAUACCGGAUAAUAUUUUGAACCGCAUGGUUCAAAAGUGAAAGACGGUCUUGCUGUCACUUAUAGAUGGAUCCGCGCUGCAUUAGCUAGUUGGUAAGGUAACGGCUUACCAAGGCAACGAUGCAUAGCCGACCUGCGAGGGUGAUCGGACACACUGGAACUGAGCCACGCUCCAGACUCCUACGGGAGGCAGCAGUAGGGAAUCUUCCGCAAUGGGCGAAAGCCUGGCGGAGCAACGCCGCGUCAGUGAUGAAGGUCUUGCGAUCGGAAAACUCUGUUACUAGGGGAAAACAUCUGUCUACGUAACUGUGCACAUCUUGACGGUACCUAAUCAGGAAGCCACGGCUAACUACGUG